rnacentral:tRNA from 1 species
ACUAAAGUGGCAGAUAAAGUGCAAUAGAGUUAAGUUCUACUAAUAAAAUAAUCAUUUUCUUUAGUU